rnacentral:rRNA from 1 species
AACGAACGCUGGCGGCAGGCUUAACACAUGCAAGUCGAGCGCCCCGCAAGGGGAGCGGCAGACGGGUGAGUAACGCGUGGGAAUCUACCCAUCUCUACGGAAUAACGCAUGGAAACGUGUGCUAAUACCGUAUAUGUCCUUAGGGAGAAAGAUUUAUCGGAGAUGGAGGAGCCCGCGUUGGAUUAGCUAGUUGGUGGGGUAAAGGCCUACCAAGGCGACGAUCAAUAGCUGGUCUGAGAGGAUGAUCAGCCACACUGGGACGAAGACACGGCCCAGACUCCUGCAGGAGGCAGCAGUGGGGAAUAUUGCACAAUGGGCGCAAGCCUGAUCCAGCCAUGCCGCGUGAGUGAUGAAGGCCCUAGGGUUGUAAAGCUCUUUCACCGGUGAAGAUAAUGACGGUAACCGGAGAAGAAGCCCCGGCUAACUUCGUGCCAGCAGCCGCAGUAAUAC